CGCGCAGCGAGACCCCAACCCCAUCCGCGCCGGGAGCCCUCUUCCCACGGAGCUUCGCCGGGAGCCAUAUGAAUGAAGACACAAGAGCAUUCUUAAAUAUCAUUGUAAAGUGUAAUACCUCUGAUUUAAAGGACCACCUUGCUUAUUCAUUGUAUGCAACAAAAGGUGUAAUGGAGAAUAUGAGCAGCCUCUGUUGAAAAGAAAAGAGAGGAAUACAGAGUACCUUCUGCAUUCACAGUCCACCUGAGGAUGACAUCUGUGAUUUGUAAGCAGUCAAAUUCAACUCAGUCCACAUUAGCAAUCCAGCUCUAAUAUGGAAGCCCCAAGGCAGUUCUGCCCCUGCUCAUCUUCCAGUCCACAACUUGCUGACAACGUGCUUGUAAUUUACCAUUGACAAGAAUUUCUUCUCACUGCCUUUUCGUACUGAAGAUAUAUGUAUGUUCUUCUAACCCAGACAAACAGAAAAGCUAGAUGGAGUAGAAAAGCAAUUCACAAAAUGAUACCAAUUCCUUGCAAAGCACCACUUCAUGUUCCACUGGGGAAUCCAUGCACUUCCAGGAGAUGCCUCCAGGUUAUAAUGCACUGUAUGAAUACACUAGUGAUUUUGUACAAACCAGACAAAAAGCAGAAUAACCACAGGCAACAUUUUGCUGGGCUAGCCUACGUGCCUGCAGCUGUCCUCCUCUGCUUUGUACCAGUGCUGUGAGAAAGCACCUGGGACCCAGUUUGCUCCUUCACUGCAAAGAACGCACUUGCAUUCAUGCCAUGCUUCGGGUCAGCCUGUGUGCACUACUCUUCUUCUGUCUGGUGCUAGAGGAAUCAGAAAAGCAAUGGUUCCAGCCACAAGGAAAGAUACAGAGCAGGGGUUAGGCUGCCUUGGGGACAGCAGUGUGCACCCCACCACAGCUUCAUGAUCCUCAAUAUAAUCCUUCUGAAUCUUCUUGCAUGCACCGAGAGCAGUUGUGCACAUGCUAGCAAUAAGUCCAGUGGAGGUACAGUGCCUGCACGGUGGGCAGCCAUGAACCUCACCAGCUCAAAAGCGUGAGAGCCACUGGUGGCUGAAGCUGUCUGAGGACAACUUCAAGCCCUACCUGAACCAAGUCAUAUCCUGUGUUUCCUGUGCUCAUACCUGUUUCAUGGAGCUGGGGAUGGGUUUAGAGCACUAGAUAUGCAUCAUAAAAGGGAAUGUGCAAUAGAGUCAGGACUUAGUACUGAGGUCUGACUAAAAAGACAGCCUCUAUAAUUCUAAUUUUCAAUAAAUCAGAAAUAAUGACUUACCUUUGUAUCUACAAAGUUUAAUUUUGCAGGUUACAUAUUCCCAAAAUUCAACGUAUCCUUGGUUCCCAGAAUCCUCCUUUUAAAUGCAAUGUCAUUUCUCCUACUCCUA